rnacentral:rRNA from 1 species
GAUGAACGCUGGCGGCGUGCCUAAUACAUGCAAGUCGAGCGAACGGACGAGAAGCUUGCUUCUCUGAUGUUAGCGGCGGACGGGUGAGUAACACGUGGAUAACCUACCUAUAAGACUGGGAUAACUUCGGGAAACCGGAGCUAAUACCGGGUAAUAUUUUGAACCGCAUGGUUCAAAAGUGAAAGACGGUCUUGCUGUCACUUAUAGAUGGAUCCGCGCUGCAUUAGCUAGUUGGUAAGGUAACGGCUUACCAAGGCAACGAUGCAUAGCCGACCUGAGAGAGUGAUAGGCGACAUGGGAAGGGGAACGGGGUCCAUGCGCCUACGAUAGGGAGCAGUAGGCAACCGGACGCAAUGGGCGAGAGCCUGACGGAGCAAGGCCACGUGAGUGAUGAAGGUGUUCGGAGCGUAAAACUCUGUUAUGAGGGAAGAACAGAUGUGGAAGUAACUGUGCACAGCGUGACGGUACCGAAUCAGAAAGCCACGGCUAACUACGUG